rnacentral:rRNA from 1 species
AGUUUGAUCCGGCUCAGAUUGAACGCUGGUGGGAUGCUUUACACAUGCAAGUCGAACGGCAGCACGGACUUCGGUCUGGUGGCGAGUGGCGAACGGGUGAGUAAUGUACGAAUGCGCCUAGUAGCGAGGGAUAACUAAUAUUGCUGCGCGUAGCUAAUACCGCAUACGCCCUUCGGGGGAAAGCGGGGACCCUCUCGGGCCUCGCACUAUUAGAAGCGUUGAUAUCGACUUAGCUAGUUGGUGGGGUAACGGCUCACCACAAGGACGAUCCGCAGCUUGGUUUGAGAGGACGACCAGCCACACUAGACCGGAGACACGGCCCAGACUCCUACGGGAGGCAGCAGUGGGGAAUUUUGACAAUGGGGGAAACCCUGAUCCAGCCAUCCCCGCGUGUGCGAUGAAGGCCUUCGGGUUGUAAAGCACUUUUGGCAGGAAAGAAACGGCACGGAUAAUACCCCGUGCAACUGACGGUACCUGCAGAAUAAGCACCGCUAACUACGUGCCAGCAGCCGCGGUAAUACGUAGGGUGCAAGCGUUAAAUGGAAUUACUGGGCGUAAAAGCGUGCGCAGGCGGUUCGGAAAGAAAGAUGUGAAACUCAGAGCUUAACUUUGGAACUGCAUUUUUAACUACCGAGCUAGAGUGUGUCAGAGGGAGGUGGAAUUCCGCGUAGCAGAACGCGUAGAUAUGCGGAGGAACACCGAUGGCGAAGGCAGCCUCCUGGGAUAACACUGACGCUCAUGCACGAAAGCGUGGGGAGCAAACAGGAUUAGAUACCCUGGUAGUCCACGCCCUAAACGAUGUCAACUAGCUGCCAGCCCUUCGGGCCUUGGUAGCGCAGCUAACGGUGAAGUUGACUGCCUGGGGAGUACGGUCGCAAGAUUAAAACUCAAAGGAAUUGACGGGACCCGCACAAGCGGUGAUGCUGGAUUAAUUCGAUGCAACGCGAAAAACCUUACCUACCCUUGACAUGUCUGGAAUCCCGAAGAGAUUUGGGGGUGCUCGCAAGAGAACCGGAACACAGGUGCUGCAUGGCUACCGUCAGCUCGUGUCGUGAGAGCAAGUUGGGUUAAGUCCCGCAACGAGCGCAACCCUUGUCAUUAUUGCUACGAAAGGGCACUCCAAUGAGACUGCCGCACAAAACCGAGGAAGGUGGGGAUGACGUCAAGUCCCUAUGGCCCUAUGGAAAUACACGUCAUACAAUGGUCGGGACAGAGGGUCGCCAACCCGGGCGAGGGGGAGCCAAUCCCAGAAACCCGAUCGUAGUCCGGAUCGCAGUCUGCAACUCGACUGCGAAGUCGGAAUCGCUAGUAAUCGCGGAUCAGCAUGUCGCGGGUGAAUAUUCCCGGGUCUUGUACACACCGCCCGUCACACCAUGGGAGUGUUUACCAGAAGUAGUUAGCCUAACCGUAAGGAGGGCGAUUGCCAUUAUAGGAUUCAUGACUGGGGUGAAGUCGCAACAAGGCA